GAUGAACGCUGGCGGCGUGCCUAAUACAUGCAAGUCGCGCGAACAGACGAGGAGCUUGCUCCUCUGACGUUAGCGGCGGACGGGUGAGUAACACGUGGAUAACCUACCUAUAAUACUGGGAUAACUUCGGGAAACCGGAGCUAAUACCGGAUAAUAUAUUGAACCGCAUGGUUCCAUAGUGAAAGACGGUUUUUCUGUCACUUAUAGAUGGAUUCGCGCCGCAUUAGCUAGUUGGUAAGGUAACGGCUUACCAAGGCAACGAUGCGUAGCCGACCUGAGAGGGGGAUAAGGCACCCCAGAACGGAGCUGCGGCACGGACCACUACGCGAGGGAGCAGAGGAGAAUCUUACGCUAGGCGAGGGAGGCUGACGUAGCACAGCCGCGUGGCGGACGAGAGGACUCGGAUCGGAAAUGUAUGCUAUUUGGGUGGAAGGAAUAAGUGACUAACGAGUCGCGUUUUGACGGUACCUAAUGAAUAAGGACCGGCUAACUCCGUG
rnacentral:rRNA from 1 species